GUAGCCGGAGUCAACCGAAGAAGAUGCUCGCUGCCGCUGCUGGUGAUCUCAAUCACUGCUUCACUACUAUAUAUAUUUAUUAAUUAUAUACAAAGAAAAAGGUUCAGCCUUUCCCACUACUUUUCAUCGCUUUCAAGCUCCAAGUUGUUGCAUACUCCUCUGCUUCCUCCCCCCUCUCUCGCACGCGCGCUCUUCAAUCUCUCUGAUCCCCGAUCUUCGGGCUCCCUUCGUUAACCGGCCCUUUCCUCUGGCGAAUCGUUCAGCCAAUACUCGGCACAUCUCCUGCUCUAUGCCUGUUCACGACGCCGUAUUGGCUUAGCCUUGUGAGUACGACAGAAAGAGAGAGGUUUGGAGGGUGUGUGUGUGGAUGGGCUAUGGCGGAGCCAACAUCAGGUGCAGUUGGUACUUGGAAGGAGAGCAAGAUAUGGAAGAUGGUUUUUUCUGUGGUCGGAAUCAUGACCACCCUCGUCACCUACGGGGUCUUACAGGAAAAGAUCAUGAGAGUGCCAUAUGGGGUUAACAAAGAAUAUUUUAAAUACUCCCUGUUUCUUGUUUUCUGCAAUCGCAUCACAACAUCGGCUGUCUCUGCAGGUGCUUUACUGGCAAGUAAAAAAGCCCUGGACCCAGUAGCUCCAGUGUACAAGUACUGUCUCGUGUCAAUAUCAAACAUACUAACCACCACAUGUCAGUAUGAGGCCCUGAAAUAUGUCAGUUUUCCCAUUCAGACACUUGCUAAAUGUGCUAAAAUGAUACCUGUUAUGGUUUGGGGCACUAUUAUUAUGCAGAAGAAAUACGUAGGACAUGACUAUUUGUUGGCUUUUCUGGUGACUCUGGGCUGUUCAAUAUUUAUUCUAUAUCCGGCAGCAUCUGAGAUCAGCCCAUACAGUCGAGGAAGGGAAAACACUACUUGGGGCGUCUCCCUAAUGAUUGGUUAUCUCGGGUUUGAUGGAUUUACGAGCACAUUCCAAGAUAAACUUUUUAAAGGCUAUGAUAUGGAUAUACACAACCAAAUAUUCUACACAACAUUAUGUUCUUGUAUUCUUAGCUUUACAGGUCUUAUGUUACAAGGACAUCUACUUCCAGCUAUAGAUUUUGUUUAUCGCCAUAAUGAUUGUUUCUUUGACAUCACAUUGCUUUCCACUGUUGCAACCGUGAGUCAAUUUUUCAUUUCCUACACAAUUCGUAAUUUUGGGGCCCUGACGUUUGCCACCAUUAUGACCACACGACAGUUGGUGAGUAUCAUGCUGUCAUGCAUCUGGUUCGCCCAUCCCCUUAGCUGGGAACAGUGUAUUGGAGCUGUUAUUGUCUUUGGUUCCCUAUAUGCAAAAAGCUUCUUGAGAAAAGCACCUCAAAGAUCUUCACCUUCAGAAGCUACAGAAAAUGGAGCUUCUAGGCCAGUGUAGUAAUCGACAGUGAGUGUCAGUCUUACGGCUACUAUGAGAUGUGGCACUCAACUCAGUCUCUAACUAAGCCUCAUCAGAUGUGGUUCCUAAGGGCUUCAGGCGGGAAUGUUUGUUUCGCCCCUCCCAGCCUUGAGCUCAUUAGAUGGUGUUGUCCACUCCGGAGUUGCACUGCCUUCUUUAGCACAGUGAGCCAGCCUGGCAAUUCGAUUAUUAAUAAUCCAGGCUGCGGCGUGAUUCUAACUUCCAAUAGCCACACUUACGUUGCACACGAGCUCCCCACCUCUAGAUAUGGCUCGGGUCGCUCCAUCCCCGACUUGCAUGUGAGUCCCAUGUGCUGGCAUCGCCAUGUCCGUCCCUAAUGAGUCAUUGACAAUCUAGGUUGUUUCAUUCUAACUAUCUUUCAGUUUUUCGUAAUCAAGGAUUCGGAAGAAAAAGAUGUAGAAAUUUGCUUUGACAAUACUAGAAUAGUUUGCUGCAGUAUUCCUUUUCCAUAUGCAGUCCAAAACUGCAUUGAAACUGUUCAUAGUGUCUACAGACCCGAUAGUUUGAUU